CCUUCGAUAGCUCAGUUGGUAGAGCGGAGGACUGUAGGUGUUUAUCUGUAGUUAUCCUUAGGUCGCUGGUUCGAAUCCGGCUCGAAGGA
rfam:Heterocephalus glaber contig29574, whole genome shotgun sequence.